rnacentral:rRNA from 1 species
CCCUUAGAUGUCCUGGGCCGCACGCGCGUUACACUGAUGCAUCCAACGAGCUUAUAACCUUGGCCGAGAGGCCUGGGCAAUCUUGUUAACGUGCAUCGUGAUAGGGAUAGAUUAUUGAAAUUAUUAAUCUUGAACGAGGAAUUCCUAGUAAACGCAGAUCAUCAAUCUGCAUUGAUUACGUCCCUGCCCUUUGUACACACCGCCCGUCGCACCUACCGAUUGGAUGGUCCGGUGAAGCCUCGGGAUUGUGGUUCUUGCCGCUUUAUUGUGGCGUGACCGCGAGAACUUGUCUAAACCUUAUCAUCUAGAGGAAGGUGAAGUCGUAACA